UCUUCAGCUUUAUAUAUUAGUAUAGAUUCAUAUUCCAUACACACACAUUUACUUUACUCUUUACUCCAAGGUAUCCCAUCCUGACAGUAUGUUUCCCCUUGUUUAUAGAGCACCAUGGCUCGGAGCAGCUACAUGACGGUGCUCGUGACGCGUGAGAAGAACUCGCCCUACUACCUCGUCGAGAUGAAGAUAAAAAAGAUUACGGGUCUAGAGCCUACUACUACGGUCUACAAGUAUAAAAUCUACGUGGAUCUCUGGACCGAAGUCAAUCCACACAUCCCACUGGUGCCACCGACUGCAUCACCGAAUGAGGCGUAAGUAUUUCAGACAAUAACUACUAAUAACGUGUUGGAACGGAACCCGGUUAUAUAUUAAACGCUUUUCAACAUGGUAAUACCUUAUCCAAGAAAGCGGAGAUGCUCUCUCUUGGAUCUAUUUAAACAAAAAAGGUUUCUCAAAUUUUGAUCAAACGAGCUGAUCAUUUUAGAGACAAGUUUUUCCGUAAUUUUUUUUUUGUUUAUAAAGAAGUUCUUUACUUGCUAAGGAGUCCCAUUUAUAAUAUAACCGGAGUCUGUCCAGACAUAGAGUAUUUGUUAUAACACUGUAUGCAAAGAAUAGUCACUAAGAUGCUUAGUCAAAACUGGUCUAAAAAAAACCAGGAAUAUUUUCCCCAUUGCUCUACCAGAAAUGACCUUGCACACUUCACCUUGCAACGUGACUGUAAUCACCUUAACAUUUUACUAAAGGUUCAUUUAAUCAGUUAUUAUAGUCACUACUGUCAUAUUCGAGUAUGAAGCGAAGUCAUUUCUGCGCAGCCCCUCUAGCCAAAUGAAAUUUCUGCAUCCUGCCAAUACGCUAUGCUCUUGCGAGAAAAUAUGCGAAAAAAUAUAAUAAAUAUUAUGUAUACAUCUAGUCGCGAAAUUAAAAAAAAAACUUAGAAAAACAUGCGACUGUCUGUCUUUUGUGCCUCUUCCAGCGAUCCAGCUGUUCUUAGUAUACUAUUUUGAUUCUUAACUUAGUCCUUAAUAUUAAUGUAUUUGUCAUCAGGUCUAGUAGAACUUAUUUCUUUGACCAGAGUGAAGCUCAAGAAUUCCUAAGCAUCAUCGAUGACAUAUAAAUGUCCAAGAUAUCCACGCGCGAAAAUAAAUAAAAAAGAACAAAGGAAGCUGGCUACAAUCUUCAAUCGCUCAAAAAUAGCUUCAAUCUUCGAAUCAACUUCUAGAAGAAAUCAGGUAAUGCACUACAAAUUUAUAUAUGGUGGCGAAAAUCCGAAUUAAAAUUUUGUCCUACUGAUUUGGUAACUUCUCAAGUUAAGAUAACGCUACUAGCGCCACUUUCGCCGGCAUAGAUAACUUUGUAGUGAUGUAUUUUUUAUUUCAUUUAAAAUAAAGUCUACUAACUUCUCGUUGCCAAAAAUAUUUCAAAAUUUUGACUUGAGCUUCACUGACAGGAAUUAAAUAAUGAAAUUAGUAGAUUAGUCAGUUCCGCCAAAUAACUACUACAGUAUUGAUUUAUUUUAAUUAAAAAGUCUGUAAAAAUGUAGAUUACCUUUCAAUUUUCGAAAUCUUUGACGUAUCAUUAAAGACGUGACUUCUGAACUUCUAAUUCUAACCUCAAAAUUUUAACAUGACAGUAUACGCAC